rnacentral:rRNA from 1 species
CCUACGGGAGGCUGCAGUGGGGAAUAUUGGGCAAUGGGCGCAAGCCUGAACCAGCAACGCCGCGUGAAGGAAGAAGGCUUUCGGGAUGUAAACUUCUUUUCUCAGGGAAGAAGAAAGUGACGGUACCUGAGGAAUAAGCCUCGGCUAACUACGUGCCAGCAGCCGCGGUAAUACGUAGGUGGCAAGCGUUAUCCGGAUUUAUUGGGUGUAAAGGGCGCGUAGGCGGGGGCGCAAGUCAGAUGUGAAAACUCAGGGCUCAACCGUGAGACUGCAUUUGAAACUGUGUUUCUUGAGUGCAGGAGAGGCAAGCGGAAUUCCGUGUGUAGCGGUGAAAUGCGUAGAUAUACGGAGGAACACCAGUGGCGAAGGCGGAUUGCUGGACUGUAACUGACGCUGAGGCUCGAAAGCGUGGGGAGCAAACAGGAUUAGAUACCCGAGUAGUC